rnacentral:lncRNA from 1 species
UGGAAAUCACAGCAUGGGCCUCAACUUCUCAAGCAAGCAAAGGCGUGGCUACUGCCUAGUUGGGACAGCGGAAGGGGACAGCUAAAGAACUGGUGUGUUUCCUAACACCCCAGACAGAAGAGAAUAGAGGCAGAAGAGUGGAGUUUUAGUGUCAUAGGUAAGUGACAGCGAUUAUAUGAGGAAUGAAAGUGAGCUGAGUUGGAAAAGAAAUGCAUUUAAAAGCCUGGAAGCACCCUCUCUCUCCCUUCCUUUCUCUCCCCACCCUCCUCCCCUCCCUCCUCACACUGGCCCAAAAUGAGGCCGCAGUCCAAUCAGGCUUCCUAAUAUCCAAUAAGAUCAGCAGUGCAUAGGCCGUUCCGAGGGCCUCGAGUCCUAGACUCAAGGCUUAAUGAGUCACCUGCUCGAUAUUUUCCACUUCAGGCCCUUGGCUUUCUGGGACCUUAGACCACUCAGCUGCAAAAUUAACUUACGGGAUCGCGCCAUUCGGCAGAUGCCACGGAGCAGAGCAGCAGGUCCAGAGUCUGCAGUGUAUAUGUUUGUGUGUGUCUGUGUCUGUCUGUGUGUGUGUGUCUGUAUAUCUCUGUGUGUGUCUCUAUCUAUCUAUCAAUCUAUCUAUCUAUCUAUCCUGCUCCCAGCCAUGAUGGUCAUGGACCAUGACGGUCAUAGUCUGCCAGUGUGAAAAAUAAAUGCUUUCCUCUACAAGUCACCUUGGUCAUUGUGUCUCUUCAUAGCAAUAAAAAAGUAAUUAAGACAUUUUCAUAAUUUUUCCAGGAUCUGAGGACCACUGGGAACAUCCAA